CCCAAACUGGUGUAAUGGUAACAUGGCGGUUGACACUUGAGCAAAUGCGCCGUAGCUCAAGCCUCUUCUGGGGGUCGCAGCUCCAGGUUCGAAUCCUGGGUUUGGGA